rnacentral:rRNA from 1 species
UACGAAGGGGGCUAGCGUUGCUCGGAAUUACUGGGCGUAAAGGGCGCGUAGGCGGUUGGGUAAGUCUGACGUGAAAUCUCCGAGCCUAACUCGGAAACUGCGUCGGAUACUAUUCAACUCGAGGAAUGGAGGGGAGACUGGAAUUCUCGGUGUAGCAGUGAAAUGCGUAGAUAUCAGGAGGAACACCGGUGGCGAAGGCGGGUCUCUGGGCCGAUACUGACGCUGAGGAGCGAAAGCGUGGGGAGCGAACAGG